ensembl:lncRNA
CCUGCUCUCUCUUACAUCCCCCCCCUCUCUCAUUCUGUUACAGAACUCUCUCACUCACACAUAGUCACACACAAACAGUUACACUCACACAUACACCACAUUGGACAACAGUUACACACCACAUUUCCCUUGAGCCAGAUGCUACUUUGAGGAAAAGGACACACUGCUGCGGAAGGAUUUUACUUGCUGUUUUUUAAAAAAAAGAAAGGAGUCUAAAAACAGAGACAAAAAAUAACACACGAGACAGUUUGUUCGUGGACAUGGUCAGCAUGACACCCUCCUGUUUGGAUUCCCUCCUCAGGCCAAAAUCCUGAAAAUGAUGGAUGACAACAAGCAGCUGGCUCAGAGGAUCGACGGGGCCAGACAGUCGGCCAGCCAGGAGGUGACCAACCUGCGAUCGGAGCUGACAGCCACCAGCAGCAGACUGGCUGAGCUUGGGGCCACCGACCGGGACCGUGACCCCUUCAUGGAGAAUCACGACCCGCAGCACAACCACCACCGCGGCCCACCCCCCCUCCCCGUGUCAUUGAUGGUCAUCCGGCAUACAUGGUGAAACGCUCCUGGGUGUUCGACCACGGGGCAGGGGUUUCCAGUACCUGGUUUACUGGGAGAGUUAAGGCCCGGAGGAGAGGUGCUGGGUUCCCGCUAGAGACAUCCUGGAUCCAACCCUCAUCACCAACUUCCACCACCGACACCCUGGUCAACCAGGUAUGCGCCCAGGUGUCGCUCAUUGUCCCUGUUGUUUCCUGUCUCUCUGUGGCAGUUCGUCUUGUAUGUUUUUCAAUACAACCAGCAUUUUUUCCCGCACUCCUGCUUCUAUUCUCUUUUGCUAGUCCUCCCUGUUUUGACCCUUGCCUGUUUUCUGGCCUCCGUACCCGCCUGCCUGACCAUUCUGCCUGCCCUAACCUCGAGCCUGCAUGCCACUCUGAACUGGUUUUGACCUUUUUCCUGUCCAGACCAGCCUACCCCUUUUGGAUUGUUUAAUAAA